rnacentral:rRNA from 1 species
GACGAACGCUGGCGGCGUGCUUAACACAUGCAAGUCGAACGAAGUGGCGAACGGGUGAGUAACGCGUAAUCAACCUGCCCUUCAGAGGGGGACAACAGUUGGCAACGACUGCUAAUACCGCAUACUGAUGGAGGGGAUUUCGUCUGAUUAGCUAGUUGGAGGGGUAACGGCCCACCAAGGCGAUGAUCAGUAGCAGGGCUGGAGGGGUGAACGGCCAAAUUGGGACGGAGAAAAGGCCCAGAAUCCUACGGGAGGCAGCAGUGGGGAAUCUUCCGCAAUGGACGAAAGUCUGACGGAGCAACGCCGCGGGAGUGAUGACGGCCUUCGGGUUGUAAAGCUCUGUUAAGCGGGACGCGGUACCGGAAUAGAAAGCCACGGCUAACUACGUGCCAGCAGCCGCGGUAAUUC